UCAAAAUUAAUUUUUCCAAGGUCUAUAGGGUUUCGAAAGAAAACUGGGCACUCCUGAAAAGGGAUUUUCAAGAAUGGGUGGCAAAAAAAUGUGGACACAGCUCUCCCAGGGAUCAGGAUGAUUCAGCGCUGCUGGAAAUAUUUAGUAGUUAUCUGUAGUGAGAUGGCAAUAUUUUGGUUAUUUAGACUUCUGACGAGCAUGGAUCAUUACAAAUAGCUUAUUAUGAAGCAUAUAAAAUGAGGUGACAACUGGAUAACUUGACAACAAAUUAUUUUCAGUAUAUAUAACUGCAUGACAGUCUAUAUUGGAAAAUGAUAAAUUACACCAUUCAUGUGCCCUGAAUUCGCUGUAAUCUCUCAAGGGGGGAAAAAAUCUAGGUUAAAUAAUGGGCAACUAAACGGAGACAUAUGUUCAAUGUGCACCACAGAUCAGAAAGGCAACGAGACGUUGGAAAUCCUGCAACAAUAGCUUUCCUCAAGCUGGAGCUGCCAGUUGAAACUGGGAAAUGCCGACACUUCUUUUUGCCUGAUAAAUCCUCCAAAAUAGCCAUCUCUCCUUCCACUCCAAUGAGGCAUGAAGCUGGUAGCAGCCCACAGCACUGGAGAAAGCGUGGCUUUGAUUUGAGCACUGCCAUGCGUGGCACUGGCAGUCCAUCCCUGCUCUGCACACCCCCUGCUGUGACCCCAGCCCUUCACCUGAGGCUGCUCUGCGAGCUGCAGGGCACUCAUGGGUGAGAGAGCAGUGUCUGAUCACCCCUGGUGAAACCAUCCGUAUCACGGGUGCGAGCUACUUGUGUUUGGAAGGAAAGGGCGCCGAGCCGACCCCUGCAGAAAGAGGGUUUUGCUGCCCAUGGAGCAAUGUAGGAUGACACUAGGGGCAGAUGCCAUCCGCAUUGUCAGGGAAGCUUUGGGAGAGGUGGCUCCUCCAAAAACAACCCAAAGUAAUGGCACACCUCACGGUUUUCUCCCUCCAUGCCUUCCUGCCAGGUGCAACACUGGCACAUCACUGCAGGUGGAGGGUGGGCUCCAAAUGGAAGAGGCACAGGCAGAGGGUGGGCUCCAAACAGGAGGGGCACAGGGUGGGCUCCAAACAGGAGGGGCACAGGGGGGGGGGAGGGUGGGCUCCACACAGGAGGGGCACAGGGUGGGCUCCACACAGGAGGGGCACAGCACAGAGUGGGCUCCACACAGGAGAGGCACAGGGUGGGCUCCACACAGGAGGGGCACAGGGUGGGCUCCACACAGGAGGGGCACAGCAGAGGUGCUGUCCGAGGGCCGGCUGGCCAGCGGGUGGACGCGGUGAGCCUGCCCUGAAUGCAUGUGUGGCUCUGGCCCGGCAUUUCGUCUGUGCAGGAGGGGGCUGGCGGCGGCAGGCGAGCCAAGUCAGAGCAUAGCCAAGCGAGAAUGUUCUGGCAGCCCUUCCUGGCAGCCUAAGCAAAGUUAUUUAUCACUUUGUGCAUUUUCCUUCUCAUCUGUGUACAGCCGGCUCCAAUGGCUCAGCUUGCAUUUUGCCUUCCAGAGCCAAGCCAGUCCCUUGGCUCUGCUCGGUCUUGGCUGUCCAUUCACACCUUCUGUCUCCUCCAGCUCUUCCUGGAGUAGCGCAGGAUGGCAGAGUAGGAGAAGGUGUCCACAGCCAGGGAAGAGAUGGAAGCUGCAGCAACCUAUACCAAUGGCAAAGAGCACACCUCUCACCGGGAGGGAGAACACCAAGCUGCUGUUUGCUGGGGCUGAGGAGCUGUGCACA
ensembl:lncRNA